GAUACUCCUCUCAAGUUGAUCUCCCCUACCCUCUAUGUUUGCAGCUUAAUAAAAAAUAGAUCAGUGCCGGAUUUCUUCAAGUCGAGAACCAUUUUAUGGAAACUCAAAUCUCCGGCAAUCAAAAGAGGUAUGCUCAUAGCUCAACCACUUGCUCUCCUUACUAGGUGCGGUUACAUUCAAUAGCGAAGAGGACAAAAUUGUCUGGAGAUAUCAGAUUGUGAAGGUACUUUUUCAUCAUCGUCCCUUUUUCUAUUUACUAACUCUAGAGGAGUAACAUGUAGGUUCGCGUCUUCUCUUUGGAACCUCUGUAAACCCCUAAAGAUGAAAAGCAUCCUUGGGCUCUGCUACAAGAGAGAGCUCAAUACAAGAGACGCCCUUGGCAAGAAGCUUGGAAAGAAUAGUGGUGGAUGUGUUCUUUGUCAACAAGCAGUGGACUUUGUAUCUCUCCUCUCCCUCUCCCUUGUAUCUCUCUCCUAAAACUUUUGUAAUUUCUCCUGAUCUUUGAUUUUUAAUAAAAG
rnacentral:lncRNA from 1 species